AUCCUUGGAACCAUUAAUGGUACCAAAACAUGCCCUUAGUCUUAUCUGUUGGUCCCUGAAGUAACACCACUCAAGGCCAAUAAUGAGGCGCUGAUGAAGUAGAGGACGCAAGGAGAGGAAGCAAGAAGAGGAAACAAGGAGAGGAAGCAAGGAGAGGAAGCACAGAGAAGAAGCAAGGCGAGGAAGCCAUUUUAGACCAACGAGAUGUAGGCCCUACCCCCAACCUAGUCAUCCAGGGCUUCUUCAGACACUACAGCAGACGACUGGACAUCAAAAGCACCAAGGACAGUUUGUGAAAGAGAGAGUUGAACCAGUGGUGCACCACCUAAACCUCCCAAAACAGUUGUCUGUUUUCCUGGCAACCAAUCUAAUAAUGAAGGAGGUCCUAAUAGUGUUUAUGGAGACUGAACAGAAAAGACCAGUGUUACCAGACUGGAAGCAUUUACCACCAAGGUAAUAAAGCACAGGGCUGUUUAGCUCCCCAACUGUUGAGUUAGCGAAAUAGCUCGUCUCCCAUUCUGUAAUUCAACAACAAUUCCUGUAAAGGUGUUUCGAAGCGGUGUGGUGGGCUGGUGUGAGCCUGGGACAAGCGUAGCGGAGCGGUUUAGCGUCAUUUACACGUGAUAAAAACUGGGCCUUAACUGGAAGCAGCAGGUCUGUCUGGAAUGGGGUUCUCAAGCUGAUAUACACAGAGACAUACAGGAGCCUCAAGUCUAACACACACACACACACAGUAAUGAGACCCAUGGCCAAAAUAGAUGCACACACAGAAACACACAGUGCUGCUAGUUCAUUUACAGCACCUAACUACCUGUCUAAUCUAAGCCAGGUCUAAUUGGUAGCUUUAAGCCCGCAGUGGGCCCUUUAUCCACUAUAGGCCUGCGGUGAAAAGGUUUACAGCAUAAACAUCUGCAAAACAGAGGGACAUUCUCCAUCACCAACGGAGCUGCAUCCUGUAGUCGAGCUCCUCAGGGCAAUGUUUCAUUAACAGCUAUAGGUUGAGACAGAGAAUACGAAAAAAAUAAAAGUAUUGAUUUCUAAAUGGUAGGCCUACCUAAAACCUUCAUCAACACAAGCUAAUUAUUAUUUUUGCAAUAGCAUAUAUGACAUGUAUUUAUUAAACUGUUAAAAUGCAUUGGCUCAGAACGGAUUACUAGAUGCAUACUUUUUUAGUGUCAGAUAUACACAAUAUUAUAUGACAAGAUCCAGCUAAAAAAAGGACCUUAUGCAUUUCAGCUAAAAUAACAAGUCAAUGUUGAUCUCCCA
rnacentral:lncRNA from 1 species